GGGUCAGUAGGUUGGUCAUGCCUCUGGUAUUCACUGGUCUCACUGAUUCCUCCUUCCUGAUGAGCUGUAAUGCCAUUAAUUUGGUGUUGCGGGGAAUUUGGACUGUUACUUUGAAAAAAUUAGAGUGUUUAAAGCAGGCUCACGCCUGAAUACAUUAGCAUGGAAUAAUGAAAUAGGACGUUCGAUCCUAUUUUGUUGGUUUCUAGGAUUGACGUA
rnacentral:rRNA from 1 species